AGUUUUGUGAUUAUCGCCUCCGUCGAUAAUGCGGAUCCCGUCGUAGCCAAGCUGACUGCGAUCACGAACGUGUAGCUUGGCGGGAAGAGGUCCUCCGCUACUUAUCGCUGGUUCCCAAAGCAACACUUGUUAGAACGAGACAGCUCAUCCGAUAUAGCCUAAUGCGAUUAGUACGACAAGGCUGUUCGAUAUGUUUUAAAAGACCGCCAACUUUAUUGUUACCUACUGUUCAUAUAAACGAGAGGCUCAUUUUGUAUACUGAUAGUGGAAAUAUCAGAAUGGCAUCAUCUACACAGAACGAAAGUUUUCUUGCAACAAGAACCUUAUUAUUUACAUCACGUACAUCAGGAAUACAGGCUCCGAGGCAACAGUUUAACGUCGGUCCCAGACGUUCGGUGCUACAAUCAAAUUCGGGAGAUUCUGAUACUGAUUGGAGUAUAGCAAGCUCAGAGCUGCUUUCACAAACAUGGACUAUCUGGGGAGUAUCUCCUCUAUUUGGAUUUGAUAAAGAUAAUGAAAUAAAACUGAAAUUAUAUGCUAAAAAACUGAGGGAGGAAAUCGCCAAUAACUUAACACAAGAAAAUGUUACGUACGAGGCAAAAUUUACGAUCAUACCAAAUUUUUCACCUAAUGUUAUAAAUCCAUUUGCACUAAAGGUGGAGGUAAAUGCAAAAUCUGUAGAAAAUCCAGAUGUAGAAAAAUCAAUCUAUAAAGGAAUAUUUAUGUCCUGGAUAUCUGGAUUUGAUGAAACAAAUAUCAGAAAUUCAGUUACAUUACCAUUAUUACUCUGUCGAGGAACACAAAGUGGUACAAGAGCUGUACAUAUAAUAAUAGGUCAUAUGUUUGACUGUAUGAUAGUUGCAUUAGAUGCCAGUCAGGAUGAUUUACUAUGGUUGUUGCCAAUCAUACUAACACCUGCGAGUGAUGAAGAGGAAACUAGUAAAUCAAGCGAGGUCUCAUUAGAGUAUAGAAUACCAGGAUUGCCACUCACCGAUACUAUAAAUGUUAAAUUUCUACUUUCUACUUUAGUAACAAUAUGGAAAUCGGUUUAUGAAAAACGUAUUAAUGAAUUAGAAAUUGAAGCUGAUUUAAUAGUUUACACAGAAGAUGUAGACAAAUUUCACAAGAUAUUACAUUCGCAUAUGUUAAGCGUCGCUGGUUUGCAGCUGGGACUCUGUUCAUUACAUAAAAUUAGUAUGAAAUCCUUAACCAUAACAGAUAACAGGAUGAAAAUAAUGAGCAGCGAGACAAUGAACAGAGUAUUAUCAUUCUUGCAAGAAUCAGCAUUAGAGCAUCUUUACCCUCUACAUCUUAAUACUCCUUCGAGAUCAACCAACAGUAUAGCUGAAUGAUAAAGCAAUGCAUUUUCAUUCCCAUAAAUGGCAGUUACGUUAUGUUAGAACGUGGACAAAGAGGUUUCUCAUCGAAUGGCGGAGGUACUAGAACUCCAAGAACUUCAGGAAGCAUAAAUGGUUUCAACCAAGUAACAAGUGGUGUUCGUCCCUUAGUGUAAUGUCCUUCUCGAUGAUAAAAUAAAAGUCCAUCCAAUGGAGGUAAUGUAGAUAAA